rnacentral:rRNA from 1 species
AUUGAACGCUGGCGGCAGGCCUAACACAUGCAAGUCGAACGAGUGGCGGACGGGUGAGUAAUGUCUGGGAAACUGCCUGAUGUAGGGGGAUAACCACGGGAAACGGUAGCUAAUACCGCAUACCAUCAGAUGUGCCCCGAUGGGAUUAGCUUGUUGGUGGGGUAACGGCUCAACAAGGCGACGAUCCCUAGCUGGGCUGAGAGGCUGACCAGCCACACUGGAACUGAGAAACGGUCCAGACUCCUACGGGAGGCGGCAGUGGGGAAUAUUGCACAAGGGGCGAAAUCCUGAUGCAACCAUGCCGCGUGUAUGAAGAAGGCCUUCGGGUUGUAAAGUACUUUCAGCGGGGAGGCGUUACCCGCAGAAGAAGCACCGGCUAACUCCGUGCCAGCAGCCGCGGUAAUAC